GAGAAGUCGUAACAAGGUUUCCGUAGGUGAACCUGCGGAAGGAUCAUUCACAUUAUUUUGUGCUUGUAGCACUGAAUUCUGGCAAUGCUUUGGUUCCUGUUGUUUUGUAACGAUGGGUUCUAGAGGUUGUUAGAUUUGUGACGGGACGGUUGUUUUUCAAUCGUCAACCCUCUGGUCUGGCUUAGGCCGGGCUUUGGGGGCGUUACACCCUACCCCUCCUGUAUUUCCAGUUUUUAACUGGAUAAUGCAAGGGUUAUGCCUCGCAGCAAGUGCUUGAUUGUAUCUGUGGGUAUUAUUUCAUGGGUAUUGAUUGGGGCUUGUUGUGAGGAUGCCUUUUCCAACUCAUUUGAUGUGUUGGUUGAGGUUUGCAUUUAUAGAUUGAUUGCAAACACGAUGUUAACUCGGUUAACGCGUUUGAUAGAUUUUAAACUGUUAGCGGUGGAUGUCUUGGCUCACACAACGAUGAAGGACGCAGCGAAGUGCGAUAAGCAUUGUGACUUGCAGACUUCUGCGAAUCAACAGAUUUCUGAACGUAUUAGACACACCACCUCUGCUUGCACGUGGUACUCCCAUUUCAGUGAACCUUAACAUUCUAACCCGACGACUUUAUCAACUUGUUGGUAGGGUUACGGGUUGUGAUUGACGUUUCCGGUGAUUUACUGGUUCGUUUAAUUUUAGUUGACGUUGUGUUGUUUGAUUGCUUGCUCUUUGAGUAGUGGAACUUUAGUUGUAAUUGAUUACUUUUGUUCCGUUUUGCGGUUGAAUUUCAUGGACGUUGACCUGUCUCGCUGAGACAUUUUGUCAACUUCGGUUGAUCAACAUCCGUUCCUGAGAUUGGGUGAGACUAUCCACUGAAUUUAAACAUAUAAUUAAGUGGAAGAGAAGAAAAUAAAUAUGAUUCCCCUAGUAACGGCGAGUGAAGCAAUCA
rnacentral:rRNA from 1 species